rnacentral:rRNA from 1 species
GAGUUUGAUCAUGGCUCAGGAUGAACGCUGGCGAGAUGCUUUACACAUGCAAGUCGUACGAGAGUCUUUGACUCAAGUGGCGGACGGGUGAGUAACACGUAAGAAUUUGCCUUUAGGAGGGGGACAACAACUGGAAACGGUUGCUAAUACCCCAUAUGCUUUCGAGUGAAAUGGAUUUUUCCGCCUAGAGAGAAGCUUGCGGCUGAUUAGCUCGUUGGUGAGGUAAUGGCUCACCAAGGCGACGAUCAGUAUCUGGUUUGAGAGGACGAUCAGACACACUGGAACUGAGACACGGUCCAGACUCCUACGGGAGGCAGCAGUGGGGAAUUUUCCGCAAUGGGCGAAAGCCUGACGGAGCAAUCUCGCGUGAGGGAUGACUGCCUAUGGGUUGUAAACCUCUUUUUUCAGGGAGGAAUAAAUGACGUGUACCUGAAGAAUAAGCAUCGGCUAACUCCGUGCCAGCAGCCGCGGUAAUACGGAGGAUGCAAGUGUUAUCCGGAAUCACUGGGCGUAAAGCGUCUGUAGGUGGUUUAAUAAGUCAACUGUUAAAUCUUGAGGCUCAACUUCAAAAUCGCAGUCGAAACUAUUAGACUAGAGUAUAGUAGGGGUAAAGGGAAUUUCCAGUGGAGCGGUGAAAUGCGUAGAGAUUGGAAAGAACACCGAUGGCGAAGGCACUUUACUGGGCUAUUACUGACACUCAGAGACGAAAGCUAGGGUAGCAAAUGGGAUUAGAUACCCCAGUAGUCCUAGCCGUAAACAAUGGAUACUAGAUGUUGAACAGAUCGACCUGUGCAGUAUCAAAGCUAACGCGUUAAGUAUCCCGCCUGGGAAGUAUGCUC